rnacentral:rRNA from 1 species
AGUGAACGCUGGCGGUAGGCCUAACACAUGCAAGUCGAACGGCAGCACAGAGGAGCUUGCUCCUUGGGUGGCGAGUGGCGGACGGGUGAGGAAUACAUCGGAAUCUACUCUGUCGUGGGGGAUAACGUAGGGAAACUUACGCUAAUACCGCAUACGACCUACGGGUGAAAGCAGGGGAUCUUCGGACCUUGCGCGAUUGAAUGAGCCGAUGUCGGAUUAGCUAGUUGGCGGGGUAAAGGCCCACCAAGGCGACGAUCCGUAGCUGGUCUGAGAGGAUGAUCAGCCACACUGGAACUGAGACACGGUCCAGACUCCUACGGGAGGCAGCAGUGGGGAAUAUUGGACAAUGGGCGCAAGCCUGAUCCAGCCAUACCGCGUGGGUGAAGAAGGCCUUCGGGUUGUAAAGCCCUUUUGUUGGGAAAGAAAUCCAUCUGGUUAAUACCCGGGUGGGAUGACGGUACCCAAAGAAUAAGCACCGGCUAACUUCGUGCCAGCAGCCGCCGUAAAAC